rnacentral:rRNA from 1 species
AGAUUUAUCGCCAUUGGAGCGGCCCGCGUCUGAUUAGCUAGUUGGUGAGGUAAAGGCUCACCAAGGCGACGAUCAGUAGCUGGUCUGAGAGGAUGAUCAGCCACAUUGGGACUGAGACACGGCCCAAACUCCUACGGGAGGCAGCAGUGGGGAAUCUUGCGCAAUGGGCGAAAGCCUGACGCAGCCAUGCCGCGUGAAUGAUGAAGGUCUUAGGAUUGUAAAAUUCUUUCAGCAGGGACGAUAAUGACGGUACCUGCAGAAGAAGCCCCGGCUAACUUCGUGCCAGCAGCCGCGGUAAUACGAAGGGGGCUAGCGUUGCUCGGAAUUACUGGGCGUAAAGGGCGCGUAGGCGGGUCGUUUAGUUAGAGGUGAAAGCCCAGGGCUCAACCCUGGAAUUGCCUUUAAUACUGGCGGCCUUGAGUAUGGCAGAGGUGUGUGGAACUCCGAGUGUAGAGGUGAAAUUCGUAGAUAUUCGGAAGAACACCAGUGGCGAAGGCGA